rnacentral:rRNA from 1 species
GUGCAGCAUGUGGCUUAAUUUGACUCACGCGGGGAAUCUUACUAGGUCAGGACCAUCGCGAGUCGGUUUCGAUUCGUAUUGUAUGAUUGUCGCAGUGUCGCUGCUACAAAAUUAAUUGGAUGAGUGGUGCAUGGCCGUUCUUAGUUCGUGAUGCAAUUUGUCUACUUAAUUGUUGGUUACGUAUGAUUCACGUCAUCGUAACCGUAACGAACGAGACCGUGUUGUGUACCGUAGCUGGCGACACUGCUUCGAUCAUCGGUACAUACACAGAGCAAAUCGAAACUUGCUAGGAAGGACGCGGCAAUAACAGGUCUGUGAUGCCCUCAGAUGUUCUAGGCCGCACACGUGCUACAAUCUGAUUGUCAGUUGUGUCGCGUGUGUGUAAGAUUCACCGCAGCGAGUCGAACCAACGCCAGCUGGUUGGAACUAUCGUUUGUAACUAUUCGAUACGACAACUAGGAAUGCCUCGUACGGUGGGUUCAACAGAUUCCCUGGAAUCCGUCCCUGCCCUUUGUACACACCGCCCGUCGCUCUUACCGAUGGUGGUAGGUUCGAGUUGCGAGGAGUCUCACGUAUCCGGUUCCGAUCGGGUUAACGGGGCGAAUCGUAACGAGAACCUACUGCUAAAGGAAAGAGAAGUCGUAACAAGGCAUCG